rnacentral:tRNA from 1 species
CGGGGUGUGGCUCAGCCCGGUAGAGCGCACGGUUCGGGUCCGUGAGGUCGAGCGUUCAAAUCGCUCCACCCCGAC